AAAAAACCCAAGUGAAAUUUUCGAGGAAAAUUUAAAUAGUGACCUAGUCCAGGCCGAAGGGGAAAACAUUUAUUCAGAACAAGUGUUCGAGGAAGAUCUGGAAGAAAUUGAAGUCGGAAGUAACACGAGUGAAGUAAGUUCAGCUGAAACAAUUAGCUCAGAGAGUGAAGGUGAAAUUGAUACUUUUGAUAUAAGACAUAGUAUCCAAAAUUAGUCCAAGAUUGAAAAAUUGAAAUCUGCUGGUGGAUCUGAGGUGGCUACCGUGGUCGAGAGCAUUCUCAAGAAGCUGAUGACCGAUGAUUUGCAAGCUAAGUAUAGUCUUUACGGAGAAAAGGGAAAGAACUCUUUAGUGAAAGUUAAGGGGUUAAGACAACUCAUUAAAGAUGCGGUAGCAGCUCACCCUAGGACUCCAAAUUAUCCAGACGAGGGCACAGUUGACGAGGAAAUUCAAAAAUCCCUUAAGAAAGUCGCAGAUAGAGUUGGGAAGCGUAUGAGGAAGUGACUUGACUUCGCGGCCAAUUUCACUACCCGGUUCAUCUGAUUAUUCAACUUAUAUUUAUUUUAAUAAAAAGUUAUUUAUAUUGCAUAAUAUUUAGAAGAAGUAAAAUAAACUAUAAACGGAAUUAUGUAA